GCGCGCUCAAAAUGGCCGACUCGCAAGAGUUCUAUAAUAGAGCUGUCCACUUCAAAGACAAAUCCUUCUAAUGCUGGUCGCCAAAACCAACCAGGAAAUCAAAAAGAACAUUUCGCGAAAAGGUAUUUAACGAAAAUGUACUUUAAUGAUGCUAUUGGUCGGUGAAAUCAUUUCAAAACUGAAGCUGGAAUCAAAAGUGACG